rnacentral:rRNA from 1 species
AUUGAACGCUGGCGGCAGGCCUAACACAUGCAAGUCGAGCGGGGUUUUCGGACCUAGCGGCGGACGGGUGAGUAAUGCGUAGGAAGCUACCCGAUAGAGGGGGAUACCAGUUGGAAACGACUGUUAAUACCGCAUAAUGUCUACGGACCAAAGUGUGGGACCUUCGGGCCACAUGCUAUCGGAUGUGCCUACGUGGGAUUAGCUAGUUGGUGAGGUAAUGGCUCACCAAGGCGACGAUCCCUAGCUGAUUUGAGAGGAUGAUCAGCCACACUGGAACUGAGACACGGUCCAGACUCCUACGGGAGGCAGCAGUGGGGAAUAUUGGACAAUGGGCGCAAGCCUGAUCCAGCCAUGCCGCGUGUGUGAAGAAGGCCUUCGGGUUGUAAAGCACUUUCAGUAAGGAGGAAGCGUUGAGUGUUAAUAGUACUCAGCGUUGACGUUACUUACAGAAGAAGCACCGGCUAACUCUGUGCCAGCAGCCGCAGUAAGAC